rnacentral:rRNA from 1 species
GACGAACGCUGGCGGCGUGCUUAACACAUGCAAGUCGAACGGAAAGGCCCUGCUUUUGUGGGGUGCUCGAGUGGCGAACGGGUGAGUAACACGUGAGUAACCUGCCCUCGACUUUGGGAUAACUUCAGGAAACUGGGGCUAAUACCGGAUAGGAGCUCCUGCUGCAUGGUGGGGGUUGGAAAGUUUCGGCGGUUGGGGAUGGACUCGCGGCUUAUCAGCUUGUUGGUGGGGUAGUGGCUUACCAAGGCUUUGACGGGUAGCCGGCCUGAGAGGGUGACCGGCCACAUUGGGACUGCGAUACGGCCCAGACUCCUACGGGAGGCAGCAGUGGGGAAUAUUGCACAAUGGGCGGAAGCCUGAUGCAGCAACGCCGCGUGCGGGAUGACGGCCUUCGGGUUGUAAACCGCUUUCGCCUGUGACGAAGCGUGAGUGACGGUAAUGGGUAAAGAAGCACCGGCUAACUACGUG